CCUACGGGUGGCAGCAGUGGGGAAUAUUGGACAAUGGGGGGAACCCUGAUCCAGCGACGCCGCGUGAGUGAAGAAGUAUUUCGGUAUGUAAAGCUCUAUCAGCAGGGAAGAAAAUGACGGUACCUGACCACGAAGCCGCGGCUAACUACGUGCCAGCAGCCGCGGUAAUACGUAGGGGGCAAGCGUUAUCCGGAUGUACUGGGUGUAAAGGGAGCGUAGACGGUGCAGCAAGUCUGCUGUGAAAGGUCGGGGGCCAAACCCGGGACUGCAGUGGAAACUGGUGAGCUGGAGUACAGGAGAGGUAAGCGGAAUGCCUGGUGUAGCGGUGAAAUGCUUAGAUAUUAGGAGGAACCCCAGUGGCGAAGGCGGCGUACUGGACUGUAACUGACGUUGAGGCUCGAAAGCGUGGGGAGCAAACAGGAUUAGAUACCCGAGUAGUC
rnacentral:rRNA from 1 species